AACGCGAAGAACCUUACCUAAGCUUGACAUCCUUUUGACCGAUGCCUAAUCGCAUCUUUCCCUUCGGGGACAGAAGUGACAGGUGGUGCAUGGUUGUCGUCAGCUCGUGUCGUGAGAUGUUGGGUUAAGUCCCGCAACGAGCGCAACCCUUGCCUUUAGUUGCCAGCAUUAAGUUGGGCACUCUAGAGGGACUGCCAGGGAUAACCUGGAGGAAGGUGGGGAUGACGUCAAAUCAUCAUGCCCCUUAUGCUUAGGGCUACACACGUGCUACAAUGGGUGGUACAGAGGGCAGCCAAGUCGUGAGGCGGAGCUAAUCCCUUAAAGCCAUUCUCAGUUCGGAUUGUAGGCUGAAACUCGCCUACAUGAAGCUGGAGUUACUAGUAAUCGCAGAUCAGAAUGCUGCGGUGAAUGCGUUCCCGGGCCUUGUACACACCG
rnacentral:rRNA from 1 species